rnacentral:rRNA from 2 species
UACGUAGGGUGCAAGCGUUGUCCGGAAUUAUUGGGCGUAAAGAGCUCGUAGGCGGUCUGUCGCGUCGGCUGUGAAAUCCCGGAGCUCAACUCCGGGUCUGCAGUCGAUACGGGCAAACUGGAGUACUGCAGGGGAGACUGGAAUUCCUGGUGUAGCGGUGAAAUGCGCAGAUAUCAGGAGGAACACCGGUGGCGAAGGCGGGUCUCUGGGCAGUAACUGACGCUGAGGAGCGAAAGCGUGGGGAGCGAACAGG